GACGAACGCUGGCGGCGUGCCUAAUACAUGCAAGUCGAACGCAGUGGGGACGGGUGAGUAACACGUGGGUAACCUCCCCAUCAGAGGGGAUAACACUUGGAAACAGGUGCUAAACCUCUAAUGAGGGAUGAACCAGCGGUGCAUUAGCUAGAUGGUGCGGUAACGGCUCACCAAGGCCACGAAGCAUAGCCGACCUGAGAGGGUGAUCGGCCAAACUGGAACUGAGACACGGCCAAGACUCCUACGUGAGGCAGCAGUAGGGAAUAUUCGGCAAUGGACGAAAGUCUGAACGAGCAACGCCGCGUGAGUGAAGAAGGUUUUCGGAUCGUAAAACUCUGUUGUUAGAGAAGCGGUAUCUAACCAGAAAGCCACGGCUAACUACGUGCCAGCCGCCGCGGUAAUUC
rnacentral:rRNA from 1 species